UCCGGCAAACAGCUAGCUCUGUUCAGCUCUCGCAUGGUCGCCCGCUGAAGCUAAGCAGGGCUGCGCCUGGGCAGUACCUGGAAGGUAGACCACAUGGGAAAAUGUAGGCUGCUGCCGGAA
rnacentral:rRNA from 1 species